CAAUAGCGUAUAUUUAAGUUGCUGCAGUUAAAAAGCUCGUAGUUGGAUUUCGGGUGGGAAUGGCCGGUCCGCCGUUUCGGUGUGCACUUGCUACGCCCACCUUGCUGCCGGGGACGUGCUCUUGAGUUCACGCUCGGGACACGGAGUCGGCGAGGUUACUUUGAGUAAAUUAGAGUGUUCAAAGCAGGCCUACGCUCUGAAUACAUUAGCAUGGAAUAACACGAUAGGACUCUGGCCUAUCUUGUUGGUCUGUAGGACCGGAGUACUGAUUAAGAGGGACAGUCGGGGGCAUUCGUAUUUCAUUGUCAGAGGUGAAAUUCUUGGAUUUAUGAAAGACGAACUACUGCGAAAGCAUUUGCCAAGGAUGUUUUCAUUAA
rnacentral:rRNA from 1 species